CUCAUAUGGUGAGGAUUUGGGAGUGCAAACAACACACAGCUAAGCAAGCCGUAUGGACAUAGCUGUCUCAGCCUUAGAGAUCUUAGAGAUCUUAGGAUAAGAAAGUGACAUCCCAGCCCACGCCUAGAAGGAACAGAAACAAUGAGAGGACACCCACAAGAUGAUUGGUAGAAUUUUUAUAUCUUAGACAAAGAAAAGGUUGACCCAAACAUUUCCGUGGGCUUAUGUUAGUGUAGAAGCCUGAGUACAUUUGCUGUGGGCAGACAUGUAAAUUCUUUAGCCCAUGGGAAGCUGUAGAGAAGAAAGUAGGAUUGAGUACUCAUGUGCCAAGCAGGGGCAGAAAAAAAAUAUAUAUAUUUCUAUCAAUUCACAUUAUAAUUAUAAUCAAUUCACAUUAUAAUAUAAAUAUAAAUAUAAAUGAGUGAGAACAUGCAAAGUUUGACAUCUAAGUGGUUCCCACCUUAAAAUUCUCAUCCCUGAAGAGGCAGUAGUUCAGACCAUAGAAUCUAGAGCCACCUGACUCCACUACUUACUACCUGGUCAAGUUAGCAAGUUAUUUAACCUCUGUGCCCUAAGAUGGGGUACUUAUGAACAGUAAAAGGGCUAAUUUUUACAAAGCGCUUAGAAUAGUGGCUGUCAUACAGCAAACACUAAAGAAGUGUGAGCUAUUAUUUUGUAAUUAAAAGAAAACAGCUUCAUGAAUAACAUAACAGAGACUAGUUUAUUUACAUGGUUGAAAUGAAAGGUAGGACUAUGUCUUUGUGUCCAUUCCCCAAUGUUUUCUACCCACAACGGCUUGGUUUAUAUUACAUAAUCUGUUUAAUAAUGUAUAAUCUGCAUGGAAAAUUUAAUCUACACUUCCAUAACUUGGUUUCCAUAUAUAACAUUUUCCUGUUUUUUUCCUAGCUGACUAGAUACUUUAUUUCAGUCUCCCUAGCAAUCAAUUUAAUGAGCCUCUUCUCUAUCAAUACAUGUUCUCUAGGUAAAGUAACCCAGUAUCAUAAUUUUAAAUAGUGUCUACAUACUGACAGUUUCCAAAUUUACAUUUCUAGCCAAGAACUUCACCUACAUUCCAAGCUCAAACAAUAUCUCUUGAAUUUGAAUAGAAAUACAAAACAUAAUACUGAAGUUCCACCUCUGUCAAACAGCCUAGGUGGUUUCAAAUCAGUCUCCCAAUGAGAAUAACUAAAACAACGGGACAAGAUAUAAAAACUAAUUAUCUGAAAGCAAUGGAAAACUACUAACACAAUGAAAAUAAAAACCUCUGAAAGGCAAUCUCUGGAGAGCUGACUUUUGACUGACUUUUGGAGCUACUUUUCUCAUUAAAGUAAUUGCCAUAUUCAGUAUAUUCUCAUGUAAGUGGUUUAGAACAAGCUUAAAGAAAUACUAGUUUAUCUUGUACAUUUCUUAAGUAUUUUACUCAGUAUUUUACUUUUGUUAUCAUUAUAAAUAAGUACAGUUUGCCCUCCAUAUCCACAGGUUUUGCCUCCAUGGAUUCAACCCACCAUGGAUUGAAAAUAUUUGAUAAAUAAAUAAAUAAAUAGAAAGAAUACAAUAAUUUUAAAAAAUUGAAAAGACAAUACAGUAUAACAACUAUUUACAUAGCAUUUACAUUGUAUUAGAUAUGUAAUACCUAGAUGUAAUCUAGAGAUGGUGUAACACAUACGGGAGAAUGUGUACAGGUUGUAUGCAAAUACUAUGUCAUUUUACAUAAGAGACUUGGGCAUCCUUGGAUUUUUGUACUUAAAAAUGCAUUUUUGACAAAUGUGUCAACUUUUUUUUUUUUUGAGACAGAGUGUUGCUCUGUCUCCCAGGCAGGAGUGCAGUGGCAUGAUCUCGGCUCACUGUACCUCCACCUCCUGAGUUCAUACAUGGCAUAAAAUAAAUGAUUUUUAUUUAAAAAUAUACUAAGGAAUGCAGCCAUAAAAAAGAACGAGAUCAUGUCCUUUUCAGGAACAUGCGUGGAUCUGAAGGCCAUUAUCCUUAGCAAAUUAAUGCAAGAAAAUCAAAUACCGCAUAUUCUUACUCAUAAAUGGGAGCAAAACGGAAAGAACACAUAGACACAUACAGGGGAACAACACACAUUGGGCACUAUCGGAGGGCAGAGGGUGGGAGGAGGAAGAGGAUUAGGAAAAAUAACUAACAGGUACUAGGCUUAAAACCUGGGUGAUGAAGUCAUCUGUACAACAAACUCCCAUGACACAAGUUUACCUAUGUAACAAACCUGCACAUGUACCCCAAACUUGAAAGUUAUAUAUAUAUGGGGGGGGAGCAGGGAGGGAGGGGGGAGGGGAGGGGGGAGAGAGAGAGAGAGAGAUGUCCUAAGACUUCAACUUUUAAAAACCUAGGUGUACUAAGACUUCAACUUUUAAAAACCUAGAAAAACAACAAAGUAAAUAAAAGAUGAAUGUAUACGGAUGAAAUUAAUAAAGACAACAGUGGUGAUUCUGAAAUCAAAGAAAAAUGAGAAUUAAUAAAAUGAAAGUUGGUUCUUGAAAAGCUGAAUAAAAUGGACAAACCCUUGGAAAGCCCAACUAAGAAAAAAAUAUAGAUAACAUUAGUCCCUCCUGUUGCCCACAUUGCCCAGGCUGGAGUGCAGUGGGGCAAACAUGGCUUACUGCAGCCUUGACUUCCCAGGUUCAGGUGUUCCUCCCAUGACAGCCUCCUGAGUAGCUGGGACUACAGGCAUGCACCACCCACACCCAUCUAAUUUUCUGUAUUUUUAGUAGAGGUGGGGUUUCACCAUAUUGCCCAAGCUGGUCUUGAACUCCUGGGUUCAAGAGAUCCUCCUGCCUCAGCCUCCCAAAGUGCUGGAAUAAAAGGCAUGAGCCACUACGCCUGGCACACCCUUAAUACUUUCUAUUAACUAACUCAGCAGUAUCUGUAUCUUCUCAUUCAUCCAACCUAAAAACUUAGUAUCUGCUAGACUCAUCCCUCUCUUCAUGCCUCACAUCCACUAUCAGUCACCAAAUCCUACCUAUUUUACUUCAUAUAUACUUCUCGAAUUUGUCACCUAUUUUGUAUCUCCACCUCAAUUA
rnacentral:lncRNA from 10 species